rnacentral:rRNA from 1 species
AAGGAUCAUUACCGAGUGCGGGAACCCAGUCGGGUCCCAAUCUCCCACCCGUGUCUACCACACCUAGUGUUGCUUUGGCGGGCCCACUCCUCCGGUGUUCCGCCGGGGGGGUCGUCCCGGGGCGCGGUGUGCCCCCGGGGCCCGUGCCCGCCAGAGGCACUCACUGUGAACGCUUUUGUGAAUGCGAGGAUUGUCUGAGUGACGAAAUGCAAUCGUUCAAAACUUUCAACAAUGGAUCUCUUGGUUCCGGCAUCGAUGAAGAACGCAGCGAAAUGCGAUAAGUAAUGUGAAUUGCAGAAUUCCGUGAAUCAUCGAAUCUUUGAACGCACAUUGCGCCCGCCGGUAUUCCGGCGGGCAUGCCUGUUCGAGCGUCAUUUCAACCAUCAAGCCCUGGGCUUGUGUUGGGGACCUGCGGCUGCCGCAGGCCCUGAAAUGCAGUGGCGGGCUCGCAAGACACACCGAGCGUAGUAGCUUACAACCUCGCUUUGGGAGUGCUGCGGGUGCUGGCCGUAAAGCGACCCUUGCGUCUUUAGCACUAGGUUGACCUCGGAUCAGGUAGGAGGACCCGCUGA